GUCUAGGAUCUACUCCAUAGAUGCGUCGCUUCUUCCCAUUGCCCAUCUUGCGCCUCGAGGCUAGCUACUCCGAGAUCCGCGUGUAUAGGGUUCAGCCGGUCAGAGAGCCAGCGAGGUUCACGUUGUUUCCCCCCAAUGUUUGUUGCGGUAGCGAGACGAGAUGCAUAGCGCCCCGCGCCGAAUCUGCUUCUUCCUAAUCAAAUUAGUCUGAUAUAUAUAUACUCCAGCGACGACCGAUUUCGUUCUAUGUCGUUCCAAUUCCUGAGAGCGCGGGGAUGCUGAGUGCUGCGUGGUGCUCGCUCACGGGACAUCUGAGGAGCCCGGUUCCUUUGUUUUGUUGGUCAAUGCUCGCUCGGUGCACUCUUCUUACUUCGGUGGCCUUCUCCGAGAUCCUUGUUCGGGUUUUCCGAACUGUUAAAUGCUGUUGGCAUUUGGUCGAAUCCGACACGACAGGCAAAUGCAUGCGGUGCUUCAGAUAUGACCCUGUUUGACAGCAUUUCUACUAGUAGUUUGAAUAGUGCAGUGUGCGGAAAUGCAAUUAAUCGCCUCCUUGCGGUGUGGGGAUGCUCUAGUGAUGACUUAUUUAUUUCACCUUGUAUGCCGUUCCAAUUCCUGAAAGUGCACGUCCAUGGGAUGCCGCACAUUGUGUGGAGCACAAGGGACAUCUGAGGAGUUUAAUUUGUUUUUAUUCUUGCUCAAUGCGUCCAGAACCCUUUUCUAUUCCAGUGUUCUUUGUUGAGUUGUCCGGUUGUCAAACUACUUUCAUGCUGCCGACAAGGGGCUAAAUUAGCAUGGGUUUACGCCUAGGGCUAAAUUAGCUUCAAUGGUGUAUUUUAGAGAUUUUUUGUACUUUGUAAGUAGGUAUUACAAAUACUAUUGUCACUACAUCUAGGGCUAUAGCCCCAUUUGCCAUAGGCUUGAUUCCGCCACUUCUGCCGAUGGUUGGUCUUGUAUGAUAUACCAUAAGUGAACAUGUCUACAACUUGAAAUGAUUCAUUUUCUAGAUUUCAGGUUUCAAAUGUUGCAAUGUAACAAAUUUGCUUCCUUAAGGCGUGGGAUGCUCCUGUGAUGACUUGUUUCGCCUCAUAUAUCGGUUCCAAUUCCUGAAAGCACAUCCACGAGAUGUUGCACGUUAUGUGGAGCAGAAGGGACAUCUGUGGAGUUAAAUGCUGGGAAAACUUUCAUUUAUUUAUUUCAGUGUUCUGCAUUCUGUUGUUCGAUUGCCAAACUAUUUUCAUGCUGCUGAACGUUGGUUGAAUUUGAUACCAUAUGUGAUCAUGUGCAUAUAACUUCAAAUGAUUCCUUUUAAGUUUCUGGUAUAAAAUGGUGCAGUGUAUCAAAUCUGCUUCCUGUAUGUGUGGGGAUACUCCAGUGAUGACUUACUUCACCUCAUAUAUCGUUCCAAUUCCUGAAAGCACAUCUACCGGAUGAUGCACAUUAUGUGGAGCAGAAGGGACACCUGAGGAGUUCAGUUUGCUUCUUCUAUUGCUUAAUGUUUGGAUAAAUCUUUCUAUUUUAAGUGUUGUUGUUGGAUAAUUUGUUUUCAUUUUAAUUUUUUCAUGCUGUUUGACACUUGGUUGAAACUGAUACCACAUGCAAACAUGUGUGGAGCAUCACAUAUGAUUAUUUUUUAUUGAGAUUUCUGGUUUGGCCUUCCGUUUCUUUUUGGGUGUUGUUGCAACUUUGUGUGGAACAUCGAAACAUCUUACGAGCAAUACGACUCGGCAAACCAAAUAAUGAGUUACAAAAACAAUAUAUAUUUUGAGACUGUUAGUCUGACUGGUUUACAAACUCUAGGCGUUGAAUCACAGAACUGACACUGUAUCUGCUAAUAUGAUUCUAUUUAUUUAUUUGCUCUUGUUCAGUGAAGUAGAAGGGGCAUCUGAGGAGUUUAAUCCAUUUUAUUCUUGCGCAGUUUGUGGAGAACCAUUUUUAUUUCACUGUUCUUCGCUGAAGCCUUGUUUGAUUCAGAAACUGUUUUCAUUUUCACUUUGCCCACAGCUACAGCUGGUUGGCUUUCAUACCGUAAGCGAACAUGUAUAACUUCAAAUGGUCCUUUUUUUCAAGAUUUCUGCUUUCAAAUGAUGCAAUAUAUCGACUUUGCUUAGUUAAGGUGUCAAACACUCCAGUGAUGACUUGUUUCGCCUUGUAUAUCGUUCCAAUUCCUGAAAACACAUCCAUGGGAUGCUGCACAUUUUGUGGAGCAAAAGGGACAUCUGAGGAGUUUCGUUUGUUUUUUUCUUGCUAAAUGUUUGAACAACUCUUUUUUAUUUCUGUGUUCUUCAUUGAGUCCGUUCGGUUUCCGAACUAUUUUCAUGCUGUCAUAAGUUGGUUGAAUUUGAUGCUAUAGGUGAAGGUGUAUAUAACUUCAAAUGGUUCCUUGAUUUAUGGUUUGAAAUGGUGCAAUGUACCAAAUCUGCUUCCUUAGGUGUGGGAUACUCCAGUGAUGACUUAUCUCACGUUGUAUAUCGUUCCAAUUCCUGAAAAAGCAUCCAUGGGAUGCUGCCCAUUUUGUGGAGCAAAAGGGACAUCUGAGGAGUUUAAUUUGUUUCUUUUCUCACUUAAUGUUUGGCCAACUCUUUUUGGUCCACUGUUCUUUAUUGAGUUGUUCGAUUUCCAAACUAUCACACUGCCGAUCAUUGGUUGAGUUUGAUAUCAUAGGAGAACAUGUGUAUAACUUCAAAUGGUUCCUUUUAAGAUUUCUGGUUUGACAUGGUGCGAUGUGUUAAGUCUGCUUCCUUAAGCUGUGGGAUACUCCAGUGAUGACUUAUUUCGCUUGUAUAUCGUUCCAGUUCCUGAAAGCACGUCCAUGGAUGCUGCACAUUUUGUGGAACAGAAGGGACAUCUGAGGAGUUCAAUUUGUUUAUUUUCUCGCUUACUGUUUGGAUAACUCUUUUCAUGUUACAUAUUGUUCUGGAGAAUUUGUUUGAUUUUGAUAUUUCUCAUGCUGUUUGACACUUGGUGAAUUUGAUAGAGACAUGCUACCUCAAAUUUUGGCUGCUCUUGGAACUUAGAUAGACAUCAGCGUUAUCUACCCCGGUACAAGUCGACAGAGCAAACGUUACCUGGUGUCAAUGGCUUGCUCCUACGGCCAGCAAACCUGCGAGGAUCUUCAAAUUUGAGUAUUUCUUUUUCAAGAUUUCUGGUUUGGUCUUUGGUGUAUUUUUGUAGCCUUUCCGAGUGAUACAACUUGGCGAGCCAAAUCAUUAGUUACAGAAACAAUAGAUAGUUUCAUAUUGUUAGUCUAACUGGUUUACAAACUCUAGGCGCUGAAUCACUUAAUUGAACUUGUAUCUGCUAAUCUGAUGAUAUUUACUUAUGUGUUUUGUUAGAUUAAGUAUUAGCAAGCAUUUGUUCACCAAUGGAGAAACCAACACUAGUUGCAAGUAUUGAUGAUCCAUUUGGUGGUCUUCAUCUGCUUUGCGCUUGACUACAAUCUCACAAGAAGCAUUUUUCUUGUGUGCAGAGUUAAUCACCCAGUUUCUCUUAAGCUCCUAAUCAAGGCAGGUGACUGAUUGAUUGCCUUGAUGCUUGAAUAACUGAGCAAUAUUCAACUGAUGGGGCCUCUCUUUUUUUUUUUGACCUACACUACAAGAGAAUGGGCUGAGAAAGUCAGGGAGGAGCUUGCUGACAGUGUUGGUCAUCGGAUGUUUUCCUCCGAAAGCAGCUCGGGUUAGGCACGAAAGCCAGGGUUGGAAGAUGGUUGCAACCAUGGGGUGAUGUGGGGCCGUGUCCAGGGUCUCGGCCACAACACAGCAGGGCUGUGAGCAGUCUCAGCCUGGCAUCAUGCAAACACAAACAGCUAACAUCCCAGUUCUCCACCUCGCAUGUGUUUCACCGCAUGAUUCUGCAGUCACAAGCUGCAACCCAGCAUAGUGAAUAGUGAGGGAUCCUGCUCACCCAUUUGCUGUAUUCAUCCCACCUCGCGUGCCCCUGUUUUCUGGGUUAACCACCGCUUUACUUUUAACACUGUCAAUCCUGUACAGAUGCACUCCCUUGCCUUAACUGUUUCGAGAAUCUGAUACUACACUACAUGAAAGCUUCACAUGUGAGUAAUUUUUGUCGAGAUUUGUGGUUUGGCCUUUCUUUUCUUUUCUGGGUGUUGCUGCAAACUUGUGUGGAACAUCCAAACAUUUUCCUAGUAUUACAGAAACAAUAGAUAUUUUGAUAUUGUUAGCCUUAACUGUUUUACAAACUCUAGGCAUUGAAUCACAGAGCUGAUGCUGGAUCUGCUAAUGUGAUGCUGUUUAUUUACUUGCUUAGUUCAUUCAAGUUUUAUCCAGCUUUUGUUCACCAUUGGAGAAACCAACACUGGUUGUAACUAUUUAUGGUCCACUGUAGUCUUCAUCUGCUCUGCACCUCACUAUAAUCUCAUAAGUCUUUUCUUCUCUGCAGAGUUAAUGACCCAGUUUCUCUUAAGCUCCUGAGCAAGGCAGGUGGUGGCCUUGAUGCUUGAAUAACCAAGCAAUAUUUGAAAGAUUGGUUUCCUUGCAUUGUGGGAUUGAGACCUUUAAAAUUGUUCUCCAUUUGUGUGACCCGCGCUACAAGAGAAGGUCUUGACAAAGCCAGGUUGGAACUUGUUGACAAAGUUUGUCAUCAAAUGUUAGCCUCCGAAGCUCGGGUCGGACACGAAGCCAGGGCUGGAAGAUGGUUGCGACCAUCAGGGGCGGAGCCAGUAUCUGGACAUGAGGGGGCGGAGCCAGGAUCUGGACAAUGUUCACAACAGUCGCGGGAUGUCAAUGAUAUGUUAAGUCCCGUGAUAGCGUUGAUGAUAAAUCUUCAAAAUACAUAUCUGGAACGAGAAAAGAAUGUAACAUUUCUGUUAACUUAAAUUUAGCCCUACAACCGCCCGUGUUACAAAAGUUCACUAUUUUCCUUACUGAUAUAGACAGUCAUAUAAUGUCGAAGAAAAUCGUCUUCAUUCUGUUUCAAAAA